ACCUCCGUGGUGUAAUGGUAAGCACGCUUGACACGUAUUUGAGAGGUCCCUGGUUCGAGUCCCGGCGAGGGCA
rfam:Stegodyphus mimosarum contig27637, whole genome shotgun sequence.